CCUGUGUCCACCCAUUUUUUGAUAAACUCCGUGAUCCUAAUGCUCGUGGGCACCCUUUGCCACCUGUAUUCAACUUCAAGCCUCAAGAGCUGAAGGGAGCAACUUUUGAGCUUCUGUCCAGACUGAUACCUGAGCAUGCCCGAAAGCAAGGUGCCUUUCUAGGUAUCUAGAUAAGGCACACCAAGGCAAAUUCGUUUGCAGCGAGACUGUACUAUAUCGUAAUGCUAGCGAAAAAAUUAGGGACAUCCUAGUUUGUUUCCAUGAAAUAGUUCCAACACUUCCUUUUCUGGUUUUUCAAUCUGGCACAUUACACUCUCGAAACUCCUGACUGACCAUUGAUUGGAUAAUGUAUGUACUAAGAUUUAUCAGACUUAAUAGAAUCUCUCUC